AGAGUUUGAUCAUGGCUCAGAACGAACGUUGGCGGCGUGGAUUAGGCAUGCAAGUCGAACGCGAAAGAGGUAGCAAUACCUCGAGUAAAGUGGCGAACGGGUGAGUAACGCGUAGGAAACCUGCCUUCGAGUGGGGGAUAACAUUCCUAACGGGAUGCUAAUACCGCAUGUGACUACGGAGUCGCAUGGCUCUGUAGUGAAAGGUGGCCUCUGUUUACAAGCUACCGCUCAAAGAUGGUCCUGCGUCCCAUUAGCUAGUUGGUGGGGUAACGGCCUACCAAGGCGACGAUGGGUAGCCGAUCUGAGAGGAUGACCGGCCACACUGGGACUGAGAUACGGCCCAGACUCCUACGGGAGGCAGCAGUCGAGAGGCUUCGGCAAUGGGGGAAACCCUGACCGAGCGACGCCGCGUGGAGGAUGAAGGCCUUUGGGUUGUAAACUCCUGUCAUGAGGGAAGAAACGUCACCGUUCGAAUAGGGCGGUGACUUGACGGUACCUCAAGAGGAAGCUCCGGCUAACUCCGUGCCAGCAGCCGCGGUAAUUC
rnacentral:rRNA from 1 species